GAUGAACGCUGGCGGCGUGCUUAACACAUGCAAGUCGAACGAGGCUGUACUGCGGAAGUUUUCGGAUGGAAGCGGUGCAGACCGAGUGGCGGACGGGUGAGUAACGCGUGGGGAACCUGCCCCAUUCCGGGGGAUACCAGUUGGAAACGACUGUUAAUACCGCAUAAGCGCACAGUGAGACAUCUCACAGUGUGAAAAACUGAGGUGGAAUGGGAUGGCCCCGCGUCUGAUUAGCCAGUUGGCAGGGUAACGGCCUACCAAAGCGACGAUCAGUAGCCGGCCUGAGAGGGCGACCGGCCACAUUGGGACUGAGACACGGCCCAAACUCC
rnacentral:rRNA from 1 species